GGUGCAGCUCAGUGGUGGAGCACUUGCCUAGAAUGGAGGCGGCCCUGGGUUCCAUCCCCAGCACCA
rnacentral:tRNA from 1 species